rnacentral:misc_RNA from 1 species
AGCGGGAGGGAAGGAGAGAGGCAAGAACGUUAUUUCUAUUCCACGGAGAACUGGUUCUACCAUUGGAAGAGGCGAGCGCGCGCCGCGCGUGCCACUCGCGUGUGUCACGUGUCCCUACAGAGAGGUAACAGGCAAAGAGGUAACAGGUAAGCGGCAAGGCUGGAACCGCAGGCUGCAGCUGCAUUGUGAACGUUCACGCGCGCCUUUUCUCUCGUGGUACCGUGAUAAGCUGCAAUUAAAUUGAUUGGCUCGCGGAAUUCAGCUGCGAACACACACACCG